AUGAGCUGCAAGUACAAAACGCUAGAUCAAAUGUAGCCUCUACCAUCUUCCUCAAUUGUCGGCGAACGGAUACCAUUCUUUCCCAUUCCUCUCUCAAUUCCAUCUGUCAAAGGUUUGAAUUGGUUCCUUUACACCAUCAAGCAAAAACUUGUUCUCUGUUAAGUUGACAUAUCAAAGUUUGGGAUGGACCAAGAUCAUACCAGUCAGUGUGCAACUUGCAAUGGCUUCCUGAGGAGACGUGGAACGGAUAAAACGUAUGGAAUAAAGCUGGUUUGAGGUGAACUCUUUUUUCCUCCAAUCCACAUCGUAACAAUAGUUUCUUUUAUAUUUUUAUGCAGAUUUUAUAUGG